rnacentral:lncRNA from 1 species
CCUAUUAUCAAUGAUAACACACAAUUCUAUUCUCCUACAACACGUUAUCAGCACGAGUUCUAACCCUAGCUUCAGAAAAAAAAAAAACCCUAGAAGAAAGAUCCUUUUUCUUCUCUGCCGCCAACCCAAAACAAAAACAAAAAAACUCCAUACCGGCGGUCCACCACCACCCCAGCCUCAGCCUCCAGCAGCCAAGCCCGUCGGACCUCUCCUCCAGCGCCCCCGCGCCCAGCAGGCGGCCACCACCAGCCCUAUAGCUCCGCGCACCACCAGCCUCACCCCAGCAGCCUAGCCGCAGCCCACCUCGCCGCAGCCUCCAGCCACACCGCCUCCGUAAGCAGCAGCAGCCCAGCCUCCGUGCGCCGCAGUAGCCCAGUCCUCGCGCAGCCACCGCUGUCCAGCCGCACCACUCCAGCCACCGCACCUCUUCACCUCUGCUGCAGAUCGGAGACC